CUACGGGCGGCUGCAGUGGGGAAUAUUGCGCAAUGGGCGAAAGCCUGACGCAGCCAUGCCGCGUGUGUGAAGAAGGCCUUCGGGUUGUAAAGCACUUUCAAUUGGGAAGAAAGGUUGCGUGUUAAUAGCACGUAGCUGUGACGUUACCUUUAGAAGAAGCACCGGCUAAGUCCGUGCCAGCAGCCGCGGUAAUACGGAGGGUGCGAGCGUUAAUCGGAAUUACUGGGCGUAAAGCGCGCGUAGGCGGUUUGUUAAGUCGGAUGUGAAAGCCCCGGGCUCAACCUGGGAAUUGCAUUCGAUACUGGCCGACUAGAGUACGAGAGAGGGAGGUAGAAUUCCACGUGUAGCGGUGAAAUGCGUAGAUAUGUGGAGGAAUACCGGUGGCGAAGGCGGCCUCCUGGCUCGAUACUGACGCUGAGGUGCGAAAGCGUGGGUAGCAAACAGGAUUAGAUACCCGCGUAGUC
rnacentral:rRNA from 1 species